GAUUCUCCAGGCAAGAAUACUCCAGAGAGGUGCUAUUUCCUCCUACAGGGGAUCUUCCUGACCCAGGGAUGGGACCUGUGUCUUUUGUGUCUUCUGCAAUGGCAGGUGGAUUCUUUACCACUGGCAUCACCUGGGAGCCUAGUUUUUUGAACCAGUGAAUGAAUCAUAAAAAUACACUAAGCAGGUGAGUUAAACAGAAGAAUGAAUUCAGACACAGGAUGAAGGAAUGAGGUCAUUCAUUUAAAUAGGACAAUAAGGCAAACUUAGGUGACUAAGAACAGACAAAAUAGCAAUAACUCAAAUUGGCUCAUCGAUCCACAGGGAGAUGACGGGCUCAAUAAGAUGAAUUUUCUUCCUAAGCCAACAUGUAAAUGCCAACGUUAAAAAAAAAAAAGACAUUUAUGACCAGCUUAAUAAAUGAGUUCUCUUAGAGACCUGACUCCAAAUACUUCUUGGCUGUUCACCAAAAUUUAAAUGUAUCCUUGAGGAAAUUUUUUUUGUCACAGUAGGAUAUUGAAAAGCAUAUAGGCUUCAUUUCAAAAUGUGGUAGACACUCAACAUUUAAUCCUCAGAAAAGUCCUGUGAAGUAGUGUCCUUAUAAGGAUGAAGAAACAGAAACACUAAGUAGCUAAGUAACUUGCCAAAGGAUCACACAGCUAAUAUAUGGUAGAACUGACUGAACCCAGGCAGUCUGGCUCGACCUUAACCCCACAUCAGGUUCUGAGACAACAAACAAGGUCGGAAAGUGACUGACAUGACUCUGACUUACAAGCUUUCCACUCGGGGGAGGGGUGCGUUUUACAGAAAUGGCAUUAGAACUUGCGUCUAAGCACCUCACCAAGAUAGUGAGACAGCCAGAUCAGGCUCAGCCCUACAUUUAGGGGAACAGUGUAAAUUGCUAACAACCUUUUUAGAAAGUAGUAUUGCAGGGUAUGUAUAUCAAGGAUGUUUAAAAUGCUCUUAAUCUUCAAUCCUAAAGGAAAUUAACCCUGAGUAUGCAUUGGAAGGACUGAUGCUGAAGCUCCAAUACUUUGGCCACCUGAUAUGAAGAGCCGACUCAUUGGGAAAGACCCUGAUGCUGGGAAAGAUGGAGGACAGGAGGAUAAAGGGGUGACAGAUGAUGAGAUGGUUGAAAUAGCAUCACCAACUCAAUGGACAUGUGUUUGAGCAAAUUCCGGGAGACAGUGAAGGAAUCCUGGCAUAUUGCAGUCCAUGGGGUCUCAAAGAGUCAGACACAGCUUAGCUACAGAAAAACAAUCUUCAACCCAAUGUCAGACUGUGGGGUCUUCUUAUCCCACCUUGUUCCAAGUAGCAGAGACCCGAAUUAAAAACUCAGAACAAUGGGAAAAUCUCAUAUACUUAUGUACCCCAUGCUUAUCAUCUCUAUUCUUUGAAAUGCCUUUGUUGCUAAGUAUUCAAUGAUUCCAUGGAUGGAGGAGCUGCUAGGCUAUAGUCAUGGGGUCGUAAAGAGUCAGACACGAGUGAGUGACUUCACUUUCUUUCUUUCUGUAGUUCCUUUUGGAGAAGGAAAUGGCAACCCACUCCAGUGUUCUUGCCUGGAG
ensembl:lncRNA